rnacentral:rRNA from 1 species
UGAGUAACCUGCCCUUAACUCUGGGAUAAGCCUGGGAAACUGGGUCUAAUACCGGAUAUGACUCCUCAUCGCAUGGUGGGGGGUGGAAAGCUUGAUUGUGGUUUUGGAUGGACUCGCGGCCUAUCAGCUAGUUGGUGUGGGUAAUGGCCCACCAAGGCGACGACGGGUAGCCGGCCUGAGAGGGUGACCGGCCACACUGGGACUGAGACACGGCCCAGACUCCGUACGGGAGCAG